rnacentral:rRNA from 1 species
GAUGAACGCUGACAGAAUGCUUAACACAUGCAAGUCAACUUGAACUUCGGUUUGGGUGGCGGACGGGUGAGUAACGCGUAAAGAACUUGCCUCACAGAUAGGGACAACAUUUGGAAACGAAUGCUAAUACCUGAUAUUAUGAUUAUAUGGCAUCGUAUAAUUAUGAAAGCUAUAUGCGCUGUGAGAGAGCUUUGCGUCCCAUUAGCUAGUUGGAGAGGUAACGGCUCACCAAGGCGAUGAUGGGUAGCCGGCCUGAGAGGGUGAUCGGCCACAAGGGGACUGAGACACGGCCCUUACGCCUACGGGAGGCAGCAGUGGGGAAUAUUGGACAAUGGACCAAGAGUCUGAUCCAGCAAUUCUGUGUGCACGAUGAAGUUUUUCGGAAUGUAAAGUGCUUUCAGUUGGGAAGAAAAAAAUGACGGUACCAACAGAAGAAGUGACGGCUAAAUACGUG